rnacentral:rRNA from 1 species
AACAGCACAGCGAUCUGCUGAUGUUUAAAAUCCUGUAGUGUGAACUAGGCUUAAGCAGGACUGAGCCUGGUCAGUACCUGGAUGGGAGAGCACUUGGGAAAAACUAGGUUGCUGUUG